AGGGCACCACCAGGAGUGGAGCCUGCGGCUUAAUUUGACUCAACGCGGGAAAACUCACCCGGCCCGGACACUGGAAGGAUUGACAGAUUGAGAGCUCUUUCUUGAUUCAGUGGGUGGUGGUGCAUGGCCGUUCUUAGUUGGUGGAGUGAUUUGUCUGGUUAAUUCCGAUAACGAACGAGACUCUAGCCUAUUAAAUAGAUCGUUGGCUUACAAACGCCGGCGAGACUUCUUAGAGGGACAGGCGGCGAUUCAGCCGCACGAAACAGAGCAAUAACAGGUCUGUGAUGCCCUUAGAUGUCCGGGGCCGCACGCGCGCUACACUGAAGUGAUCAGCGUGCAUUUUGAAACCUACUCUGUCAAGAGUGGGGAACCCAAUGAACCUUCUUCGUGAUUGGGAUAGGGGAUUGUAAUUAUUCCCCUUGAACGAGGAAUUCCCAGUAAGCGCGAAUCAUAAGUUUGCGCUGAUUACGUCCCUGCCCUUUGUACACACCGCCCGUCGCUACUACCGAUUGAAUGUUU
rnacentral:rRNA from 1 species